rnacentral:rRNA from 1 species
AUUGAACGCUGGCGGCAGGCCUAACACAUGCAAGUCGAGCGAGCGGCGGACGGGUGAGUAAUGUCUGGGAAACUGCCUGAUGGAGGGGGAUAACUACUGGAAACGGUAGCUAAUACCGCAUACCAUCAGAUGUGCCCAGAUGGGAUUAGGUAGUAGGUGGGGUAACGGCUCCCCUAGGCGACGAUCCCUAGCUGGUCUGAGAGGAUGACCCGCCCCACGUGAACUGAGCCCCGGUCCAGAUGCCUACGUGAGGCAGCAGUGGGGAAUAUUGCACAAUGGGCGCAAGCCUGAUGCAGCCAUGCCGCGUGUGUGAAGAAGGCCUUCGGGUUGUAAAGCACUUUCAGCGGGGAGGCGUUACCCGCAGAAGAAGCACCGGCUAACUCCGUGCCAGCAGCCGCGGUAAUAC